rnacentral:lncRNA from 1 species
ACAACUUGAUGUUAAAAAUACAUUCCUAUAUGGAGAGUAAAAGAAGAAAUCUAUAUGGAUCUACCAACUAGUAUUGAUAUGAACUGAAUAGAAGAAAGCCCUGUAUAGGAUAAAACAAUUUCUACGUGCAUGGUUAGGGAGAUCAUCCCUAUUUAUUGAUAAUUCUAACUCAGGGGAGUUGCUGCAUAAUUGGUUUAUGUAAAUUACAUAAUUAUAACAGGAGAUAUAGUAAAGAGCAAGGAAGAC